rnacentral:rRNA from 1 species
CCUACGGGUGGCAGCAGUGGGGAAUAUUGGACAAUGGGGGCAACCCUGAUCCAGCCAUGCCGCGUGUGUGAAGAAGGCCCUCGGGUUGUAAAGCACUUUCAGUGAGGAAGAACGCCUGGUGGUUAAUACCCAUCAGGAAAGACAUCACUCACAGAAGAAGCACCGGCUAACUCCGUGCCAGCAGCCGCGGUAAUACGGAGGGUGCGAGCGUUAAUCGGAAUUACUGGGCGUAACGCGCGCGUAGGUGGCUUGAUAAGCCGGUUGUGAAAGCCCCGGGCUCAACCUGGGAACGGCAUCCGGAACUGUCAAGCUAGAGUGCAGGAGAGGAAGGUAGAAUUCCCGGUGUAGCGGUGAAAUGCGUAGAGAUCGGGAGGAAUACCAGUGGCGAAGGCGGCCUUCUGGACUGACACUGACACUGAGGUGCGAAAGCGUGGGUAGCAAACAGGAUUAGAUACCCGUGUAGUC